GAUGAAGAACGCAGUGAAAUGCGAUAACUAAUGUGAAUUGCAGAAUUCAGUGAAUCAUCGAGUCUUUGAACGCACAUUGCGCCCCCUGGUAUUCCGGGGGACAUGCCUGUCCGAGCGUCAUUGCUGCCCUCAAGCACGGCUUGUGUGUUGGGCUCCGUCCCCCCGGGGACGGGCCCGAAAGGCAGCGGCGGCACCGAGUCCGGUCCUCGAGCGUAUGGGGCUUUGUCACCCGCUCUGUAGGCCCGGCCGGCGCCAGCCGACAACCCAUCAUCCUUUUCAGGUUGACCUCGGAUCAGGUAGGGAUACCCGCUGAACUUAAGCAUAUCAAUAAGCGGAGGA
rnacentral:misc_RNA from 1 species